rnacentral:lncRNA from 1 species
ACAUUUGAAAAAUUUUAAAGAAGUAAGCACUUAAAAUUUUUAUGGAUUGGGGCCUAACUAUUCUAGUUGCACCGUAUGAUAUUUUAUUUUUUGAUUUUGUUAGAUGUAUUUACAUCAGAUGUAUAUAUGAUAUGUAUAUUUAAAAAAAAGAAAAUUGAGAGAGAUGUGUGAGAAUUUUUUAGUGAUUUUUGUAAGUCAUUAUAAUUUUUUUUCCCCUCUUGUUUAACCUAACACCAGC